AUCGCUAAAUUCUCUAUACCUAUUCAAAUGUAAAAAACAGGAGUGUGGGGGGAUUUAAUCUAGAUACAUUUUGCUUAUACACUAUUCUUUUCUCUUUUGCUUAAAACCCAUAUUUUGCUUAUUGGUGAGUUAUCUAUUGUUGUAUUCUUUUUUUCGAGUUUGGAGGUGGUGAGAAUCUCCAUUUGAAUUAAUUGUGGAAUUGAUUUUUGUUUUUCAUUUUGUGUUUGUUUUGGAUUGAUUUGUGAAUGUAUUUGCAACAACAAGAGGGAGAAUGGGUGCUUAAGGUGAGAAAGAGAGGAGGGUGAAUCAGUUUGUGUUUCUUUUGAAAGAGAACAGAUAUUUUUGUCCUCAUCCCUGUCCAGAGAGAAUUUAGAUUCAUUCCACGUCAAAACAUUUGGUUCCUCCAAUUCGGAAUUGAGGGAAACCUGUCACUGUCUCCUGCAAUCAAAGAGAAAUUCAUCCAAGCCAACAACCUUACCAACCGCUGAUUGACUGUACGGGGAGUGACAUUGACAAAAAAAGAAGAUCUAGAGUGAUAGAUAAGCUAGUAUUGAAUCAGCAACAUCAUCAACAGAAAUCAUCAGCAAAGAAAAACUGGACUGAAGUGUCACAUGAAGCAACUUUUUGGACAACCUCCACUACUGGUCAUCACUAGGCUAACAUCAUCUCAGCAUGCAUAUGUGCUAAUGGACAUCAUCGCUUAUUUUUGGCAACCAGAUUAGGUGUUUGUUAUAACUAAGUGUUAGCCAAUAAGUAGAACAACUUAUUUUUGGCAAGCUGUUUCAACAGCAACUGUAAUCCGUUUUUUAACACUGAAUUUCAGUAAA